rnacentral:rRNA from 1 species
AAGACCUUGCACUUUUGGAGCGGCCGAUGUCUGAUUAGCUAGUUGGUGGGGUAAAGGCCUACCAAAGCUUCGAUCAGUAGCUGGUCUGAGAGGACGGCCAGCCACACUGGGACUGAGACACGGCCCAGACUCCUACGGGAGGCAGCAGUGGGGAAUUUUGGACAAUGGGCGCAAGCCUGAUCCAGCCAUGCCGCGUGAGUGAAGAAGGCCUUCGGGUUGUAAAGCUCUUUCAGCCGGGAAGAAAAGGCUGCGACUAAUAAUCGCAGUUCAUGACGGUACCGGAAGAAGAAGCACCGGCUAACUACGUGCCAGCAGCCGCGGUAAUACGUAGGGUGCGAGCGUUAAUCGGAAUUACUGGGCGUAAAGGGUGCGCAGGCGUUUUUGUAAGUCAGAUGUGAAAUCCCCGGGCUUAACCUGGGAACU